rnacentral:rRNA from 1 species
GGACUACCGGGGUAUCUAAUCCCGUUCGCUCCCCUAGCUUUCGCACAUGAGCGUCAGAUAUGAGCCAGGAUGCUGCCUUCGCCUUUGGUGUUCUUCCAGAUCUCUACGCAUUUCACCGCUCCACCUGGAAUUCCGCAUCCCUCUCUCAUCCUCAAGUCUCCCAGUUUUUCAAGGCCUGCAGGAGUUAAGCUCCCACCUGUCACUCAAAACUUAAGAGACCGCCUGCGUGCGCUUUACGCCCAAUAAAUCCGGACAACGCUUGCCCCCUACGUAUUACCGCGGCUGCUGGCAC